CAGGUACAGAGCUUCUCUUACAAGAUCCAUGUUUAGCUCAUCAUGUUUAGUGAAUCUGCACAUUGAAAACAGCCUUGUUUACAGUCUUCCAAUUAAAUUGUUAGAAACCAAGAAAAAGGAAAAAAAGUUCACCAGGAACACAUGUUGCUUCUGAAAAGAAAUCUGCAUUGCCUUUGGGUACUAAUACUGCACAGCAAGCUUUUUGCUAUAUGUCAAAGGCUUUUGAUUUCCACUGAAGGCAUUUUAUUUCACUUUGAUUUGGGGGAAACAAAACUGAAGCUCCAAUCAAUCCUUACUGAUUGUGAAGGCUGAAAAGAAAUAACAACAACAACAACAACAAAAACCCACAAUAAAAACGUUCUUUAAACUUCUGCUGGGGAAGCCUCUACAGAAUAUUUGAUAAAUAAACGCCUCAUGGCUAUUAUUUAAAGAUGCCAUCCCACCCCUAGUUUUAAAGGUAUUUUUAUGUGCUUGACAAUAUGUAUUUGUGAAAUAUAAAUUACUAUUACAGAUUCAUGCUACAGAAAUAAGUGUUUUCAAGUGUUAUGCAUUAUAGAUCAACCUGUACGUGGGAUUUAGGAAAAAGAAAAAAAAAUUCCUUUUAUUUAAAAAUUCUAAAGAUGUUUGGUAGACCCAGAAAAUAUAGGUUUCUCGUUUUAAUUCUUAUUUUAUUUUAUAAAAGUCAUCCAAUAUAUACUUCCUGAACCAGCCCAUUAUGAUUCCCGACAAGCCAUUAGUGAUCAGGGUGUGUGUUUUAACAAUAUAUAUACUUACAAGAUUGGGUCAAUAAUAUGUAUUUUUUGAUGCUUGAAGGGUCCAUAUUUACCAACCAGUCUAUAAUUACUUUGAACAAACUAAAGACUCAUUGAGUGCAUUUCCAGAUAUGAAUAUCCUCUUUUGGCUUCUUCUCCCUUUUCUCUCCCCCAACUCCCUUUUAAUUUUGCUUUUUUUCUCCUCUUGAGGUAAUAAACUUCCCGAACUGGGAAGAAGAAACAAUCUUAAGAAUCUAAGCAUGUAAAAUAAGAACAGGGCAAUUUUGAAUUUGGGCUGCAGAGCUGCCCUGGAAGUCUGGCAUUUGCUCAUCUCGCUGUGCUUAAGCUUGACUGGAGCUCCAAUCAGCGAGCAGUGGGCCAGGGCGAGAAUGUCACACGUUGAGGGCUGAUAUUUAGGCACAAAGGGGAAGGUAAGUGCAGAAUGGCACACUAGACUGUGAGCUUUAACUCUGAGCGGCUUUACUUUGGAGCGGUGAAGCCAGAGCCCAGUCAUUACUUCAGUCUGGGUCUGUGGCUUAACCGUAUUAUGUCCCUGCAUUGUUUAUUCGCUGUGUUGUGUUGGGGUCAAUUGUGAUUUAAGUGUUAAUUGCUAAAUGCUCUUUGUGUAAUUGUGCUUUAUGGGGGUGGUUCAGCUUUCCAAAAUCUAUGUUUGUUUGAGAUUUUUUUUUUUUAAUUCAGGAUUGCAUCUAUUUGUGUGUGUUGUAUGUGACUAUAAUAUAGGUAUAUACACACUCACAUAUAUUCUUCAUUUACUUGUCUAACUGUUUUUGAAGGCAUGAAUGUGGAUUAACAGUGUUAUCCUUUCCUAACAAUUAUCUUUCGUUACUCUAGCUAGUUUAGUUCUAAAAGACAGCGCCAUUGACAAGGGAAAAAAAGGGAACCUUCUCAGAUUUUUCAGCUCAGCGGUGGUAAUGUUGCAGUGAACACUAAUGAGGGAACCCCCACUGAUUUGCCUGCUUUGUGACUUUUCUAUUUCAUAAUUAUUUUUAAAACGCAAAACGACAUGAGGUAGCCUAGUCAUGUCUCCACAACUUCCUGGUAGCGCCGUUCUUACUGCAGAUGGCAAUUUGUUCUUGUAACAUAUAUAUCUCUCUGACCAUUUUCAUCUAAUUUGUAUGGGUUCUACCAUUUCUUUUCUCUCUUUCAGGGACCUUGCUGUGUGUGAGCUAGGGGGUGGCAUGACAUGCUUGGCUGGGC
rnacentral:lncRNA from 1 species